GACAGAGGGUGCAAACGUUGCUCGGAAUCACUGGGCGUAAAGGGCGUGUAGGCGGGAAGGAUAGUCAGAUGUGAAAGCCCUGGGCUCAACCCAGGAACUGCAUUUGAAACUCCCUUUCUUGAGUGUCGGAGAGGAAAGCGGAAUUCCUGGUGUAGAGGUGAAAUUCGUAGAUAUCAGGAGGAACACCGGUGGCGAAGGCGGCUUUCUGGACGACAACUGACGCUGAGACGCAAAAGCGUGGGGAGCAAACAGG
rnacentral:rRNA from 1 species